ensembl:lncRNA
CCACACUUGGUUCCUCGUUGUUGUUUUUCUGAAAUUGAAAGAUUUUGGUUUUGUUUAGUUAUCCUUUUGGAGAUCAUGAAUUAUCCAUCAGAUGAGUGAGUGUAUGAGAAACUGUCAGUGACUUGCCAAGGGUACAUGCAGUUAUUAAGUUUGUCAGGCAGUUUUAAUUUUCAGUGUGGAGAUUGUAGUUAAGUGCUACUGAGAAAAGAAGUUCAGGUUUUGUGACUCUAACCAAGCAACAUGUGUACUUCAUGUACAAAGGAUUGCUGUGGAAGAUAAAGAGUGUUACAGGCGUAAGUGAAGACCUGGUGUAAAUGUGCAGCAAGCCAGUCUUUCAGAACAAGAAGCUGCUAAAGAGUGUGUCUGAUAAAGACCACUGUCUUAGGUAUUCCCCUGAUGAUAAUUAGAUUGGAGGACAGCCAGCAUAGCCUGUCAUCUGGACAUCAUCAAACAAUUGCAACUGCAACGUCCUGCUCCUGUGAGUGAACACCCAAACAGCACGUGGCUACAGACUGCAGGGCAUGACUGUGCAGGUCGAGAUCUGCAUAUGUGUCACAAAAGACUUCUGGUCUCACCGUUUCCAUUGAAUGAAUUUGAAUGAAGGAGUACUUUACCAGGAUCAUGAAUACAAUGAAUCGCUUCCUGAGCGACUGUCCGAAUUACGGCCUUUCAGAGCGCAGGGUUUGUUUGAGACAGACAUGGCUUGGGGGAUUUUACUUCCAGGUAAGAUCCUGCAGGCAAGGAGCAGCCACCUGAGCAGCACGAAGCAGUGUGUGUCCUUGCAGCAAGCCCCCUCACAUCGCUGCUGUUUGUCUGCUCUUUGCAACAGGAACUCAGCCAUCAGCAUUUGUUUCUGCCUGAAAUCUUCUUUAGAAAUCUGCUAUGAGUGCGUGCUUAUUUAGUGUUUAAAACAAGAGAAAUAAAAUAUUUUUCUUCUCUGUAUUUUUAACACAUCAGGUAAGGGACUGCUCAAACCUUCCAAGAAGCCCACGUGAGAUCUAUAGGAGAAACAGCGUGUACUUGCUCGAGGGGUGGUGCUUGCUAGUUAAUGGCCUCUGCUCUCCUCUUCUGGUGCUCUCCUCCCAGGGAUCUUGUUGUCUUUGUUCUAGGAAUAGAUUUGUUGGAAACUUUCUUUAGAGACUUCUCCUUUGUACAGACUUGAUUUUACCUGUGGGCAAGGUACUGUUUUCUUACACAGGGACAUCACAGCAUUGCUGCAUGAAGAAGGAACUUUCAGACGCAGGGAAUGAUGGACUGCUGAAGGGUACCUGCUCACAGAACAACAUGUCAGGAAUCUGAAGUAUGAAAUGCUCAUCUUUGAAAGCAGGCACUCGCAGGGGCUUUUUUCAUCUUGCACAGCCUGUUCAGAGCCCUCAGCCUUGGUUCUUGCUGCAGCAGCGGAUGGGUCAUUGCAGUUGUUUUUCUCUCAUCUGCACUCAGGUGGUUUUCCUUGAAAGAUUCUUCUUCCUGCUGUCACCCGCACUGCUGACAGAUACUUCUCAUUUUUGGAUGCCUCAUGGAUGAAAAUUAUUUUCCAUAUGAUAACAAUUGGAAAGGUCUAAAUUGCAGGUACAUACCACCUAGUGAAAGGUACUGGGAAAGUGCAACUGAUGUCUUCUGUGGUCUGCAGUAUUCCUUCCUUGCUUCCCUCAGAUUCCAUGGACACACUGUCCUUCUGAAGAGCUCCUGCUUCAACUAAAUCUUU